rnacentral:rRNA from 1 species
UUUUCCGGUUGAUCCCGCCGGCGGCCACCGCUAUAGGAAUUCGAUUAAGACAUGCGAGUCGAGAGUCUUCGGGACUCGGCGCACUGCUCAGUAACACGUGGAUAACAUGCCCUUAGGUGGAGGAUAAUCUCGGGAAACUGAGGAUAAUACUCCAUAGAUCAUGGGAGCUGGAACGCCCCAUGGUCGAAAGUUCCGGCGCCUAAGGAUUGGUCUGCGGCCUAUCAGGUUGUAGUGGGUGUAACGGACCCACUAGCCGAUGACGGGUAUGGGCCUUGAGAGAGGGAGCCCAGAGAUGGACUCUGAGACACGAGUCCAGGCCCUACGGGGCGCAGCAGUCGCGAAAACUUCACACUGGGGGCAACCCCGAUGAGGGAAUUCCUAGUGCAUGCAUUAAAUGUAUGCUUUUCUUUAGUAUAGAACGCUAAAGGAAUAAGGGCUGGGAAAGACGGGUGCCAGCCGCCGCGGUAAUACCCGCAGCCCGAGUGGUGGUCGAUAUUAUUGAGUCUAAAACGUUCGUAGCCUGUUCAGUAAAUCUUUGGGUAAAUCGGUGAGCUUAACUUACCGAAUUCCGAGGAGACUGCUGAACUUGGGACCGGGAGAGGCUAGAGGUACUUCUGGGGUAGGGGUAAAAUCCUGCAAUCA